rnacentral:rRNA from 1 species
UCCCUUAGAUGUUCUGGGCCGCACGCGUGCUACACUGAGUGGAUCAGCGGGUCAGGUUGCGCGAAAGUGUUUCCUAAUCUUUAAAUCCGCUCGUGAUGGGGAUUGACGGUUGCAAUUUUCCGUCAUGAACGAGGAAUACCUUGUAAGCGCGGGUCAUCAUCCCGCGCUGAAUACGUCCCUGCCCUUUGUACACACCGCCCGUCGCUCCUACCGAUUGAGUGGUCCGGUGAGGCUUUGGGAUCUGAGCGGAAAGAGCGUUUCGCUGUUUCUGCCCGGAAAACUCAGUCGAACCUUAUCAUUUAGAGGAAGGAGAAGUCGUAACA